CACUCGCUCUCUCAUGAGCUUUUUUUUCUUCCUUGUUGCAUCGUUGGCUCAGGAUAAGUCGAAAAGAGACAGUAGCGCGGGUCUCCAUCACCGUAGUGUUACCUUAUCACCCCCACGCGUGGCCCAGACAAAUAUUUUCUCUAAAAAUGUCGCUUGCAAUCGAAGCUGUAAAGGACUUUCUUGUGAAGCUUCAGGAUGACAUAUGUGAAGCUCUCGAGGCGGAGGACGGACAGGCAACGUUCAUGGAAGAUAAGUGGACACGCGAGGGCGGCGGUGGCGGCCGCACGCGCGUCAUGGUGAAUGGCGCCGUGAUCGAAAAGGGCGGCGUGAACUUUUCACACGUGUAUGGGAAGGGACUGCCAGGGUCCUCGACAGAGCGGCACCCUGACAUGACUGGUUGCAACUUCCAGGCGAUGGGAGUCUCGCUUGUUAUCCAUCCAAAGAACCCCCAUGUCCCCACAUCGCACGCGAAUGUGCGUCUCUUUGUUGCCGAGAGGGAGGGCAAGGAGCCGGUGUGGUGGUUCGGUGGCGGCUUCGAUCUCACGCCGUACUAUGCUGUGGAGGAAGACUGCCGCUACUUCCACCAAGUCGCACAGGACCUCUGCAAGCCCUUCGGCGCUGACGUGUACACGCGCUUCAAGGUGUGGUGUGACGAGUACUUCUUCAUACCUUACCGAAACGAGGCCCGUGGGAUUGGCGGCCUCUUCUUCGACGACCUUAACGAGUGGCCGUUUGAGAAAUGCUUCGAAUUUGUGCAGGCGGUGGGCAAGGGCUACAUUGAUGCGUACAUCCCAAUUGUGAACCGGCGCAAGAACACACCAUACACAGAACAGCAGGUGGAGUUCCAAGAGUUCCGCCGCGGACGGUACGCGGAGUUCAACCUGGUGAUUGACCGCGGCACGAAGUUCGGCCUCCAGUCUGGCGGUCGAACCGAGUCCAUCUUGAUUUCACUGCCGCCGCGUGCGCGCUGGGGCUACGAUUGGCAGCCAGAACCUGGCACGCCGGAGGCACGGUUGACGGAGUACUUUUUGAUGAAGAGACAGUGGGUGUAGGCCACUCUCUCUACCGUGGUGCCAUGCACAUCCCACACUUAUAUUUCGCUAUGUGACUGUCGUGAUUUGCUGUGUGUGCGGGAAGCGAGGGUGCAUGCGCAGCCGUGUGUUUUUUCGGUACCUUGCUAGCUGGAGCCUGCACGUAUUCCGUCUUUGCCGUCCGCAGCUUCGAUCAACUUUGAGUUGAAUACUCCGUUGGUCGUCGGCAGCACGGUAGCGCAGCAGCAGCGACCAUUCUACGUGGCUUGUGCUGGACCAUCACGUGCUUUGAGUCACGAACCGGACAUUAUUCGUUUGUCAAGUUUUUUUCUUCCUUGAUUCCACUGUCUUGCAGUAACAGGCGGGCCGCUCACAUCGCGUCACACAGUCGGAGGGCGUAGCAAGCGCGGGCUUGCAGCGACGUAAUCAAGGAAGUGCUGCGUGGUGCGCUGGGGUGCCAUCGAAAGCAAAAUCAAGGGUGCCCCAUCGCUCUUCCAUUUCUUUCACACCAUCACGGCCCUCUUACGCUUUUACACCUGUUGUGUGGACUGAAAACGCAACGCAGCAUUGUGCUCUCCGUGGUUGUGGCCUAGCUCUGGUGGUCAGUGCAGCUUGUUGUUGCUUCUCUGCGCGCAUGUAUAGUGUGCGGUACCUGUGAUGAUUGAGACUCUGCGGUGGUGCCCGCGACGCUGGCGUGCCCCCUGCAGCGCGUUAUCGAAACACAGACUUUCUGCUAACGUCAUUGAUCUUUUUCCUCUCCCCUACCCACGCCUGAAGGCACUAAUAUGAGGUUUCGGAAAUGGCUCGCCAAUGGCGAGUUUUAGUGCUUCGCGACUUGCGUUUCAGAUGCUCUCCAGUGGUGUGGGAAUGGUGCAGUAUUCCACGGUGGCUAGGCAGCCGCGCAGUCUCACAACCACAUGCGAACCCGCGCUUUAUUAUUCUAUUGUGGUGGCUGGCAUACCGGUUGUCUGUUUAACGAAGUCUUGUGCGUUCCUAGUGAUUGCGGCCACCACUAAUCAACUCUAUAUCUCUUCUGGAACCCGAUCACUUUCCUACCAACCGAAGGAGUGCUGGUCGCGCCACUUCAUGGGGAGCAGUUUGGUAGUAUCAACUUUCUCUGGUGUGCUGGGGUGCUAAAAGAAGACUCCGAGCCAACCGCCGCUGAGAUUGAAGAGGAGGGCAUCGCGACGCCCUCAGAAGGCCGUCCAAGCGGAGGGGCAUCGGUGGCUUGAAAGUGGCCGCGAUUGUUCCUGUGCUGCGCGUUCAUGAAGCACACGUUUUCUCCCUACUCCCUGCAGGAAAACUCUGCCAAGGGUUCCAGUGGCGGUGUGCUGAAGACGUACGUGAAGGACGCAACGCAUACCGCAAAAAA
rnacentral:misc_RNA from 1 species